UGCGUGCUUAACACAUGCAAGUCGAACGCUGAAGCCGACAGCUUGCUGUUGGUGGAUGAGUGGCGAACGGGUGAGUAACACGUGAGUAACCUGCCCCUGAUUUCGGGAUAAGCCUGGGAAACCGGGUCUAAUACCGGAUACGACCAACCCUCGCAUGAGGGUUGGUGGAAAGUUUUUCGAUCAGGGAUGGGCUCGCGGCCUAUCAGCUUGUUGGUGGGGUAAUGGCCCACCAAGGCGACGACGGGUAGCCGGCCUGAGAGGGCGACCGGCCACACUGGGACUGAGACACGGCCCAGACUCCUACGGGAGGCAGCAGUGGGGAAUAUUGCACAAUGGGGGAAACCCUGAUGCAGCGACGCAGCGUGCGGGAUGACGGCUUCGGGUUGUAAACCGCUUUCAGCAGGGAAGAAGCGAAAGUGACGGUACCUGCAGAAGAAGUACCGGCUAACUACGUGCCAGCAGCCGCGGUAAUACGUAGGGUACGAGCGUUGUCCGGAAUUAUUGGGCGUAAAGAGCUCGUAGGUGGUUGGUCACGUACUGCUGUGGAAACGCAACGCUUAACGUUGCGCGUGCAGUGGGUACGGGCUGACUAGAGUGCAGUAGGGGAGUCUGGAAUUCCUGGUGUAGCGGUGAAAUGCGCAGAUAUCAGGAGAACACCGGUGGCGAAGGCGGGACUCUGGGCUGUAACUGACACUGAGGAGCGAAAGCAUGGGGAGCGAACAGGAUUAGAUACCUGGUAGUCCAUGCCGUAAACGUUGGGCAUAGGUGUGGGGGACAUUCCACGUUUCCGCGCCGUAUGAACGAUUAAGUGCC
rnacentral:rRNA from 1 species